AGCGAACGCUGGCGGCAGGCUUAACACAUGCAAGUCGAACGCCAUCUUCGGAUGGAGUGGCAGACGGGUGAGUAACGCGUGGGAACGUACCCUUUGGUUCGGAAUAUUCUCGGGAAACUGAGAGCAAUACCGGAUAAGCCCUACGGGGGAAAGAUUUAUCGCCAAAGGAGCGGCCCGCGUCAGAUUAGGUAGUUGGUGGGGUAAAGGCCUACCAAGCCUACGAUCUGUAGCUGGUCUGAGAGGAUGAUCAGCCACACUGGGACUGAGACACGGCCCAGACUCCUACGGGAGGCAGCAGUGGGGAAUUUCCGCAAUGGGCGAAAGCCUGACGGAGCAAUACCGCGUGAGUGAAGAAGGCCUCGGGUUGUAAAGCUCUUUGUUCAGGGAAGAAACACCGGCUCUAACACAGUCCGGGAAUGACGGUACCUGAAGAAUAAGCACCGGCUAACUACGUG
rnacentral:rRNA from 1 species